AAUUUGGAGAAGUGUGAAGAGGAUUUCUAUGAGCUAGGAGGCUGACAUCCAACUCCCUUGUGGCUAGGAGGAAGGCUGGCCACCACAAACCUGCUGCCGACCGCUCAACACCAUCUCAGCCUUUGGGUGAACCCUCCCAACUUGCAGGAGACACAACUGGGGACCCUCAGUGGAGAAAAGACAGGGGAUGCCCCCUUAAUAUGUCACAGAGGCAAUGGGUCUGCUGCUGCUGCUGCUUCCAUUCUGUAAGGAGGAAAGGACAGGACAAUUUGCAGGCUACUAUCUCUCUUUGAAGAAGACAACUGCAGGCGUGGAGAGGGAGACCCUGAAGGUAGCAAUGGCUGCAGCUGAAGAUGAAACACUCAGAGGUACCAUUGUGAGCAUAUUCGCUACCGUAAGUGAAACUACAGAUUCUGAACUCACUCCCCUACAUUCUCACUUUACUUGGGACUGCUUGUGCAUGGCGCCCAACACACCACCAGCCAUGGCUGUGAUGCUUUAGCUGAUAUCUCACUCCUGAGUGUCGCAAAGGCAGAGAGAACAUAGUUGCUGCGAGCAUCCCGAAGACACCCAGAGCCUUGUGCUGCUAGCCUGUGUACUGCAAUGGUGCCUACUGAAAUUAUAGCUGAAUGGCAUGGGAAAGUAUCCUACCGUGGAGGAAGAAAUAAGGCAGCCCUCCCUAGAAACCUUCAGCAGACAAUUGCAGAGAACCUCCAUGAAACUCUCGCAACAGGAUUCAAAGGACACCUCUGUGCACAGAAAAAAACGGCUCCGCAUGCCUCUCUCCCCCACUCUAGAGGGGAAUGAAAAGUAGAUAGCAAUUCUACCUCUCUUGGUAGUGCCACUACCUCUUCUAGCACGAGUAAAUUAAUGAAAAGUCAAAAAAUGUAUCCUGCUACUUUAGGGGUGCCAUCCUCUGUAACCCUUCUGCCCGUCAGAGUU